CUACGGGGUGCUCCAGUGGGGAAUUUUGCGCAAUGGGGGAAACCCUGACGCAGCAAUACCGCGUGAGUGAAGAAGGCCUUUGGGUCGUAAAGCUCUUUUCUUGGGGAAGAUAGUGACGGUACCCAAGGAAUAAGCACCGGCUAACUCCGUGCCAGCAGCCGCGGUAAUACGGAGGGUGCAAGCGUUGUUCGGAUUUACUGGGCGUAAAGGGCACGUAGGCGGCACAGCAAGUUAAGGGUGAAAUCCCGGGGCUCAACUCCGGAACUGCUCUUAAAACUGCUGAGCUAGAGAUAGUCAGAGGCGGGUGGAAUUCCAGGUGUAGAGGUGAAAUUCGUAGAUAUCUGGAGGAACACCGGUGGCGAAGGCGGCCCGCUGGGGCUAUUCUGACGCUAAGGCGCGAAAGCGUGGGGAGCAAACGGGAUUAGAUACCCCUGUAGUC
rnacentral:rRNA from 1 species